rnacentral:rRNA from 1 species
ACGCUGGCGGCGUGCCUAAUACAUGCAAGUAGAACGCUGAAGAGAGGAGCUUGCUCUUCUUGGAUGAGUUGCGAACGGGUGAGUAACGCGUAGGUAACCUGCCUUGUAGCGGGGGAUAACUAUUGGAAACGAUAGCUAAUACCGCAUAACAAUGGAUGACCCAUGUCAUUUAUUUGAAAGGGGCAAAUGCUCCACUACAAGAUGGACCUGCGUUGUAUUAGCUAGUAGGUGAGGUAACGGCUCACCUAGGCGACGAUACAUAGCCGACCUGAGAGGGUGAUCGGCCACACUGGGACUGAGACACGGCCCAGACUCCUACGGGAGGCAGCAGUAGGGAAUCUUCGGCAAUGGGGGCAACCCUGACCGAGCAACGCCGCGUGAGUGAAGAAGGUUUUCGGAUCGUAAAGCUCUGUUGUAAGUCAAGAACGAGUGUGAGAGUGGAAAGUUCACACUGUGACGGUAGCUUACCAGAAAGGGACGGCUAACUACGUGCCAGCAGCCGCGGUAAUACGUAGGUCCCGAGCGUUGUCCGGAUUUAUUGGGCGUAAAGCGAGCGCAGGCGGUUUGAUAAGUCUGAAGUUAAAGGCUGUGGCUCAACCAUAGUUCGCUUUGGAAACUGUCAAACUUGAGUGCAGAAGGGGAGAGUGGAAUUCCAUGUGUAGCGGUGAAGUGCGUAGAUAUAUGGAGGAACACCGGUGGCGAAAGCGGCUCUCUGGUCUGUAACUGACGCUGAGGCUCGAAAGCGUGGGGAGCGAACAGGAUUAGAUACCCUGGUAGUCCACGCCGUAAACGAUGAGUGCUAGGUGUUGGAUCCUUUCCGGGAUUCAGUGCCGCAGCUAACGCAUUAAGCACUCCGCCUGGGGAGUACGACCGCAAGGUUGAAACUCAAAGGAAUUGACGGGGGCCCGCA